AGGGUAAAGGUACUUUGUUUAUCAGUAACUAAUAUGAGGGUGAGACCGAUGACUAUUAGUGAAAGGUCAAUGCCGAAGUAAGAAAGGUAUGUCAAAUAAGCUUACUGAAGUUACAUUGAAUAAGUGUAACGCUACGAUAGUAGAUCAAAACAUAAUUGUGGAGUGCUACUGU
rnacentral:ncRNA from 1 species